GACGAACCGUGCGAACGUUGUUCGGAAUCACUGGGCUUAAAGGGCGCGUAGGCGGGCCAUCAAGUCAGAGGUGAAAUCCCCCGGCUCAACCGGGGAACUGCCUUUGAUACUGGCGGUCUGGAGUAAGGUAGGGGCAUGCGGAACUGAUGGUGGAGCGGUGAAAUGUGUAGAGAUCGGGAGGAACACCGGUGGCGAAGGCGGGUCUCUGGGCAAUUCCUGACGCUGAGGCGCGAAAGCGUGGGGAGCAAACGGG
rnacentral:rRNA from 1 species